GUUUGAAUUUUUCUCUUUGUGUGGAUUAUAUACUUUCUAAGUUAGAAAUUGUUGUCUAUAGGCAUGCGUUGUUGUACUAUAUAAUAUUGACUUUGAUGUUAUGAUUCAUCAAUGUUGUUGGUUAUUUUUUGUCUGUUAAAUUAUUUUUCUGAGAGAAUCAUUUCUACAUUGUGAAUGGUUGGAUGUGUCAUUGGAUUUCAAAGUCAUACUCUGUGUGUUUGAUUUCUCACAAGUGGAACUGCAAUCAUUCGGUGAAAUAUGUAGAAACAUUCUUUGACUCAUUCUGUGUAUCAGGACGGUUCAAAGCUUUGAAUUUUGUGUUUUGGCAAUUGAUUUUUGGUGUUGCUUUUGGAGUUUGGAACUAAGAUCGAAAUUGGUUGCUUUUUAGAAGCAACAGGGCAAUGCAGUGACUGUUGCUCUGUAUUAUCAUUCGGGAAAUGUCAGCCCGACUGGUAAUGGGGAGGUUCUGUCAUGGUGCAAUGACUUCUGUCAGCCUAAUUUAAUCAUUUUUCCUCUAAGACAUGUUUUUUCUCUGUUAACUCUUUUCAUCUUUUGACUAUCUCAUUAGAUUAUGAAGAUAAUAAAACACAUUAAUGGAGUAGAUUUUCAUAAAAUCAUCAAAUAUGUGAUACUAGAAAGGGAAGUAAGCAAGAAACUACUGAUUUUUUCUCCCAAAUAUAUUUAGUUUGUACUGUUGUUGCUCUUUUUGCGUCAAAUUUAAGUCUGAUGUAAAUUUAUCAAGUUAUGCUCUUAAAUUUUGAAGGUUCUUGAGUAGUAUAUUACUAAUUGGGGGAGAAAUCUACAGAUUGAUUUUAAAAUAAGAAGUCUUCUAGUAUAAAUAAAGUAUAUUACUGCAGUUUGAAGGUAGAUUCUUUCUCUUAUUUUGUCGGUUGAACUUACUAUAUAGUAAUAGAUACGAAAACUUUAUUAUUUUACAUGUUGAAGAAGAAGCACAUAAGUGUUGCUUAAUGAUGCCUCAAAAAUCGAAGUUAUUAUAUAGUAAUAGAUAUGAAAACUUUAUUAUUGUACAUGUUGAAGAAGACACAGAUAAGUUUUGUUUAAUUAUGCCACAAAAAUCGAAUAGGUAACAGAUUUUCUACCCAAUUGUGGAUAGCAGAAGCAUUCGAAAGAAGAAAUUGAACAAACGAAAAAAAGAAAUAGUGAGAAUUUUCAGGGUUCUUGGAAUUUGGAAUGAAUUAGAAGCAGUAUUCCAAUGCAGCAGCUACAGCUUUGUACAACUACCUGGGCAAUGCCAGCCCUGCUCAUGAUAUGGGCGACAUGCUUUCAUUGCUAAGUUUCUUCAGUUUGCACAUCAAAAUAUUUGUCCCCUCAAACUCUAAUUUUAACUAUCUUUUUUAUAUCAAAAUUAGUUUUUCAUAAGAGGAAUACAUAUAGUGGAAGAUAGAAAAUCGGAGGCAUUACAACAGAAAAUUGAUCAUGCUUACUUAACUUCAAAGGUUGUUGUAGGAAGUGUUGAGGAGGUCAAGAAUGGCUGGAAAAAGUUGAGUUUUGGGGUUGGAACUCAGAAAACGGUGGAGCUGCAUCAACAAGAUUGUAAUAGCUGAGAAGUACAUGAAGUAUAAGGACUCUAAACAAUCGGUUAGGGUUAGAGUUAAAGAUCUUCUUGAUUGAAUGAUCCUUGAAGAAAGCAUAGACCAAAUAAUUUUGAUUGAUAAGACUGGAUCUAUAAUUAAAAUCACGAAGCACUACUAUUAUGUCGGAACAUUUUUAAAUCUUUAAAAUUCAGCCAUUUUCAUA